GGACGCAUCAGUCAAGCACCCCGUAAAUAGGCGAUUGUCACGUGGUAUGCCGUAAUGUGUUUCGGCAGCAGUACGCGGAAUGUGCAUCCGAGUCCGCGUGGGGGGGGCCUCCUGGUAUUCCUUGGACGUGCAUCGCAGGGAGUAAGGCGGGUGAAUGCUUUCAAGUCACAACAAGAGGGCUUCAGUUUUCUAAAGGCGUUGAGUUGCGACUACCCCGAUGCCGUUGGAUGGCGGGCGAAGGCGUAGGAUGGGGUCGUUUAAAUCCAGGCCAGUAGGUUGAACAUUUUUCCGAUCUCGCGGUGGAGGCCAGAGGGAGGGACGCUAUACGUGGCGCUGCCGUUGCACGGUGGAAUGACGGCAUAUGAGGGACGUCCUGGACUGGAGGGGACACACUCAACCGCUCGAGUGCACUCGACUCGGGGCAUGACGUGGUGUGGCACCGCUCGUUCUCCAGCUCCCGGCAGUAGGCGCAGGCGGCGCGAAUGUGUUGCAUGCAGCCAAACACGAGUGCCAGGCAGCUCAUGAGGCACCCCCCGAUCAGGCGCAUUGUGCGCCCUUGCGGGUUUGGUAAACAGAGUCACGGGUUGAACCAGUUUCUGUUCGAGUACGGUACCCAAUAGAAUUGGACGGGAUGGGGGGAUGUUAUAGCGCGUUGUGCAGAAGACGUCUUCGGAGUGCACGUACCGCGUUUCGUUGAGCGUCGCGGCCGUCUGGUUUUGUGGGUUUGGGUGUACCGUCGUCCCUCACCGACUGGGCUGUUGAUUCUACAGUUUGCGAUGUAGUGGUGGUUUGUGGGUGGUACGGAGUAAAAGUGCCAGGUGGCAUUGCCUCAGAGUUGUUUCGCGUCGGGUGCGUCGACUAGGGCUUGCAUGCAGUCUUGCAUUUGUCUGGUGCGGUGCACGUGCUGAGUGCAGCGUAUGGUGUGGGAGCAGCGUGUGAGCGUGGAGGGGAUGUGGCGAUGUGGUUUCAAUUGCAGUGUAUAAAAACAGAGCAUUACGUGUAACGGUGGCAAGUGCAUUUUGGCAGAACUACUGUGCUGUGGUUCCUGCUGGCCUGGGGUACGGGCGCCAGCAUGCUCGGCGAUGGUCACGAAGUGAGCAUGGUGCCGCGAGUCUACAGAAUUGUGUUGUGUGUCGGUACAUUUGGACUGAAUGUGGGUGUUGGAUAUCUGUUGCGUCGAUAGUGCGGGAGGAGGCACCAGGCGUCCCCCAUUUGAUUCGAGUUCGUGAUGGGACGUGCGUGAGGCAGUCGUUGCUCUUGUGAAUCUACGCGUUGGAUGAAUUGUGGUAUUGCUGCACAGGCUGUAGGCACAUGAUUGAACGUGGGUUCGGGUGUUGUGUAGACGUGGUGCAGGAGGGAAUGAAGGGGCGAGUGAAGAAGGAACGUGGGGAGGGCACCGGCGGCAACGGGGGGCGGAACAAAAACACGUGUGUAAUGUCGUUGCGCUUGGGUGAUAGGUUGCAGAGCAAGUAGAAGGGUCAGUGGCAUGGGACCGACGCGGGCCUAUCGAGGGAUGGGGCGGUAAUGGGUAGUUAGGAAAGGUUGAAGAUGAUCUGGCUCUCAAACGUGAUUUGUUGUAUCUAUUUGAAUGGCUAUGCGAGGGAGGGAAUGUGUGAGCAUGGGGGGAGCAGCAGGGAUGUGGAAUCCGGAGACAGUAUGCCCACUGGAAGUCAUUGGCGCCGAUGGCAGGUCAUACGGAGCGUCUGGAACAUGUCUCUGGACGCAGUAUUCCAGAGAGCCACGAGGCGGUACUUCGACGCCAGUUCGGUGUGACCGGCUCCCCACCGGUUGGGACGGACCUUGGUGAGUAGCAUCCUGGCCGCUCCCGCUUUGCUGGCUUUUGAUGCUCAGGCUGUGGAAGUAUGCAAUCAUGAAUUGUGUGUUGACGAGUGCAUGCAAGAGCAUUGCUUGGGAUCGUUGGAGCUGUAUGCGAGUGGGACUAUCGAGUCGGGAGGAGUAUGCGUGUGAUGAUAACUGUGAGGCGUAGGCGUGGGAGCACGCUGUUUUGGUAGGGGGUCGCUGGACCCAUAUUUGUUUGUUGGACGCAAGGGCAGGGCAGACAGGCAGGGGGCGCAAGGCGGACGGGCGACGUCAGCAACGCCGUCGUACCAAAAGUUCCGAUAAGGCCGCCGCGGUUUUCUUCAGACGGUGAUGCAUCGCAAAGUCGUCGUGCCACGUCUCCUGAGAGGCCAGGACUGAUGUCGUCAGCUACUGCAAGUACGUCCACCUCACGCACGAUUCCGUGGAGACUUUUAGGAGAGCAGGUUAGGACUAAUGCGGGGACGUCGUGUAUUGGGUGGGGUCUUGUGUUUGAUCGAAGACGUCGAUAGCAGCUACACGUCAUGUAGCGUAUCGUCCGCCCGAGUCGAGAAUAGUAGGGUAGCGCGUUGUAACACGCCCGUUCGUACAGCACGACCAGACGAACCUUGUUCUCGCAGAGCAAUCGACACUCGGAGGUCGCCACAACUGUAUCUGAUCUGUGGUUUUCUAAAAAAAUGGUUUUUCGUCUGUCCCGUGCUUUGUGGAUCUAGUUUUUGCGUCAUGCAUUUGUUGAGUUCCCGGUAUUCCGCGGAUGAGCAGUAUUGCGUCUCAUUUCCAAGCACCUCGUGACGGUCACCGGUGCAUUGCGGCGCUAAUGUGGGACAGGCCUUCGAGAGAAUAGCCGGUUUCUUGGAGAACACGGUUGGCCGUGAGGGGGGUGAUAUCAUAUGCUCCCAUACUCGGCGCGACUGGGGAAUGUGAUCGGGAAUCACAGAGUGUAAGCCAUCGCUGGAGGAUUUGUUGAUUUUUGGACGGGACGAUGUUUGACGUGCGUACGGUUAACCCGGGGCUGCUCCCGGCCACGACAUUACGAGCCACGGAUGAGACCGGAAAACACAGGACGCCAGCAGCUGUUCGUCGCCAGUGGUGCGACGAGGCGAUAGCUCGCGAGUUGUCUGUUGGAGGGAACUGCACGGGUGUCUUACAGGGAGAGAGAGGGUGACACGGGGGUAAGACGGGUUGAGUCUGGUCGUGGGGUGGAAUUCGAUUAGGCAUGAGUAGUUGGCGGGGUUUGGGAGGGACAGAAUGUGUGAGCGUGAGUGAAGCAGCAGAUAUGUGGACUCCAGAGACAGGAUGCCCAUUCGAAAUCAUUGGCUCCGAUGGUAGGUCAUACGGAGCGUCUGGAAUAUGUCUGUGGAAGGAGUAUUCCAGAGAGCCACGAGGCGGUACUUCGACGCCAGUUCGGUGUGACCGGCUCCCCACCGGUUGGGACGGACCUUGGUGAGUAGCAUCCAGGCCGCUGCCGCUUGGAUGGUUUUUGGUGCUCAGGCUCUGGAAGUAUGCAAUCAUGAAUUGUGUGUUGACGAGUGCAUGCAAGAGCAUUGCUUGGGAUAGUUGGCGAGCUGGAUGCGGGUAGGACUAUCGAGUCGGGAGGAAUGUGAGUCUGACGAUAACUAUGAGGCGUAGGCUUGAGUGCAGGCUCGGGGCGUCAGCGAGGUGACAGCGUAUUAUACUUGGCGUGCAGGACGGGGAAGGUGGAUGGCCGGCAGGCAUGACGACAGUGGCGGUCCCUCAGCAACGCCUUUAUCCCACAGCUUAGUGGGGGGCCAAUGUGGGUUUUAUCAGGCUCUGGCAGUACGCACUCGUCACGGGAGAUACAGUGCGAACGCGCAAACUCGUCGACGGGCAACUGGACGGGUGGUGUGUCACGGGCGGGGUCUUGUAUUUGAUUGGGGACGUCGACGGCAGUCAUACUUCAUGUAGCGCCGGAUCCACCCAAGACACGGACACUAGGGUAAUGUGCUGUAGCACACCUGCUCGUACAGGGUGACUAGGCCAACGUUGUCCUCGCAGAGCAAUCGAUACCCAGUGAUCUUUAGAAGUGUGUCUCAAAUGGCUCUUGAGGUCGUCGUUCUGUCCCGCCUUUCGUUAGUCUUUCAGAUCGCUCAUGCGUUUUUGUUUUGGUGCCGAUAGUAGGAGCGGGGUUGCGUCUGGGCCGGGGUGCAACGUGCAGCGUGGCUUUCAUCGUAUUUUCUUCGUACGUUAGCGCAGACGGUUGUCCCUGCAGUUGGACUCUGGAGGCGUUUGGAUGCGGAGUUUGUCGAGAAGGCUGGAGGCAGGUGGAUGGCUGGAGAGAGGCGGCUACUUCGUGUGUGUCAAUCAGGCGUGCCGGUGUCCGGACAUUCGUUUUCUGCCAGGUGUUGUCGGGUGUUCUCUCACUAAUGGAACAUCAGUGAUGAGAGGCAGCUGAGUCGCAACGAUGUGUCUUCGUGUUGAUCGUGGACAGGAACGGCUCAGGCGUAGUCGCUGCGUUGGCACACGCUCUUGCGGUUAUAACUCUCACGUGGCUCGCCAACGCCUCACGGCUCCCUAUCAGCAAGCCCCGAGUCUGUUCGCCGCUGCCACAACCCACGUCUUAGUACGACAUGCGUGACGCUAUUCGGUGUCCCCAAUAGGCUGUAGGCAACUGGUCAUGUCGAUGCUGGAAUCGAUGGUGCACGAACGUUGAUUCGAGAGUGAAUGAAUCAGAAGUGUCUACCCUCUGCGCCAGCAGGUGCGGCGGUGACACCGGACCGCAAACGGACGGUAGCAGCUGGUCGCCGCGUUUUAUAGGAAGGGACGACAGCUCAUUAAUUAGAACGUCUCUGCAAGGGAGUCUCCCGGGCAACUGAUGGGGGGCGGCAAUGCCACAGCGAUAGGAAGGGGUGAGUAUGGGCAUGGGUGGGAGAGUGGUGUGGCAUAUGAGGUCGACGGGCUUUGCGAGAGACGGGAUGUUAGCAUGAAGGGAGUGGCGGGGGUGUCGAGGUGGAUGAUAUGUGCGCGUUCGAGAGCGUGUGCGUCGAUGCAGGGCCUCAUGGGGAGCAUUGGAAGUGGUCGCGAGAACCAAUACUCUGCUGAGAGACGACGUGGCGCCGCGAUACCAGCUGGGGCGUGACUGCUUGUUCGCUGUCGGUGUUUUGAAGCACCUGGGUGGAUGAGCAGCCUGGCGUUCACCCACCGUUACCUUGAUCCGAUUCAGGCUGGCACAGUGAGUGGUUAGGGAGUUGCUGUUGAAAAAGGAAUGAGAGGCCAUUGGUGGGGGGUACCGGUGGCGAACUGUGUGCGGGUGGGACCAGCGACUGUGCCGAUAUAUGAGUGCGUUAAGCACUGUGAGUCGAGGCGCUCGAGCCAGCGGCGGAAGUCGGCGCGCACUCCGUCUGCACCAACUGCGUCAUUGACUGUCGCCUUCCCUGUUGCACCACACCUCGGCGGUGAUUGGGAGUACUGGAGGAUAUGCUGGCCACGUGUGGAAUGCGAGUGGCAUGUGGGUGCACGAAACAAGAAGCCAGAGCCCCCGUUCUGAGGGACGUGAGUGCGCCAUGAGGAAAGCCGUGUCCGUGUUGAAUUGGAUGAUCUCGAGGGCAGACGUGGUGUCUGGUUGACUCUGCGGCUCUCGUGUCGGCUCAGUGGCAUCGGGCUGCCGGUGGAUGGUGUUUGUGAGUUGCAGGGGUAGUGCGGGACGGGUCGCCGCGCACAGGUCGGUUUUGUGGAGGGCACGGUUUGCUGCGAGAUCCAGGCGUGGCGCAUUUGGCGAAUUGUGGUCUUCAUUCACAGCCGGUAGGCAGAUGAUGAAAAAAGCCGGUUUGUGGAAUGUGGCACGGGGCGGUGCGUGCAUUUUGGGGGGAGGUGGGGGGGGUUGAAUCGUGUGCGUUUCCCCGCCAAGGCAGCCGGAUUGAGGAUCGACACCGGAGGAAGGAGGUCCAACAACAGCAGUCCAUUGCCCUCAGGACGGGGAAGCGGCGAUGGCUUGUGAGAUUGCCUGUGCAGGGGAACUACGCCGAGUGGUUCAAUAAGGGGCGGGAGAGUGGCACAGAAGAAAUAGGAAGAGUUGAGUCUGGCCUUGGGGUCAGCGGCGGCGUGGCGCCUCCAUUCGACCGGCUGUCGGUGGAACUGGCUGUUAGCAUGGGGGCAGCAGCGGAGACGUGAUAUCGGGUGACGGUAUACUCACUAGACGUCAUGUGCAUUGCUGUCGGAUCUUAGGGAGCGCCCUGGACGUUUGGUGGCGGGAAGCAGUAGGCUGUUGAGAAACGAGAUGAGACGCCAAUGGCAACACUGCGAGACGGACGUCUCACCCUUUCAGGCGGAAUCGGGUAUUUGCAGAUGACGUUCAACGGUUGGCCUCGGUCGACCAUUUGACUUGUAUGUGUCCAGGCUGAGGCGGUAAGUAAUGCGAGGCAUGGUGUUGAUGACGAACCGCUAUAUGGCUGCUUGGAAGCGAUAACGAAAACUAUCACAAAGUGAUCAGCGAAUCUGCCGACCUCCGCAUAGGCUGAGGGCAAACAGGCAGAGGUGUCGGAGCCGGCUGUGGGGGCGGGGCACAUACGGUGUGUUGAGGGGGGGUUGAGGUCUGAGGUUGCAGGUUAUAGUCGGUGUGAGGUAUGCUUCGGGUGGAAGGAAUCGGCGGCUAGACCUGGUAGUACAUCGGGUCGCUUGACUAGUCGUGUGCUGGGUGUAGUCUGCCUGGAUCAGUGAGCAAGAAGGACAGCGGAGCUGGUGGACGCCCUUGCGUAGAUGCAGUGCCCCAGUGCGUCGUGAGUGGCGCCCGACAUCAUUUUUGUCAUGUAGCAGAACACUGGGUCUGCACAACCGUGUACACGUCGCCUUCGUUGUGCACGAGCGGCGAGGCUGCGUUGGACGAGCGGCGAUUCUACGUCCGCCGUUGCUGUCAUACUGUGACAGCUGGACCAUCGGACUAUGUUGUGGAGCGCCAUGCACACGUCUUGGUGCCCCCGCGACUGCCUCAAGGUGUGCCGGCGGCGCAGUCCAUUCGCACCAACUGCGUCAUUGACUGUCGCCUUCCCUGUUACACCACACCUCGGCGGUGAUUCGGAGUACUGGAGGAUAUGCUGGCCACGUGUGGAAUGCGAGUGGCAUGUGGGUGCACGAAACAAGAAGCCAGAGCCCCCGUUCUGAGGGACGUGAGUGCGCCAUGAGGAAAGGCGUGUCCGUGUGGAUUUGGAUGAUCCCGAGGGCAGACGUGGUGUCUGGUUGACUCUGCGGCUCUCGUGUCGGCUCAGUGGCAUCGGGCUGCCGGUGGAUGGUGUUUGUGAGUUGCAGGGGUAGUGCGGGACGGCCGCCGGGCACGGGCCGGUUUUGUGGAGGGCACGGUUUGCUGCGAGAUCCAGGCGUGGCGCAUUUGGCGAAUUGUGGUCUUCAUUCACAGCCGGGAGCGCCCUGGACGUUUGGUGGCGGGAAGCAGUAGGCUGUUGAGAAACGAGAUGAGACGCCGAUGCCAACACCGCGAGACGGACGUCUCACCCUUUCAAGCGGAGUCGGGUAUUUGCAGAUGACGUUCAACGGUUGGCCUCUGUCGAUCGUUUGACUUGUACCUGUCCAGGCUGAGGCGGUAGGUAAUGCGGAGAAUGGUGCUGAUGACGGACCGGGAGCCGGCUGCUUGGAAGCGCCAACGAACUCUAUCGCAAUGUGGCCAGCGAGUCGGCUGACAUACGCAUUGACUGAGGACGACCAGGCGGGAGAGUCGAAGCAGGCUGUGGGGCUGGUGGCGAAAAGAGGGUGUCGACGGGGGGUUGAGGUCUGAGGUUGCAGGUUAUAGUCGGUGUGAGGUGCCCUUCGGGUGGAAGGAAUCGGCGGCUACACCUGGCAGUAUCUCGGUCGCUUGACUAGUCGUGUGCUGGGUGUAGUCUGCCUGGAUCAGUGAGCAAGAAGGACAGCGGAGCUGGUGGACGCCCUUGCGUAGAUGCAGUGCCCCAGUGCGUCGUGAGUGGCGCCCGACAUCAUUUUUGUCAUGUAGCAGAACACUGGGUCUGCACAACCGUGUACACGUCGCCUUCGUUGUGCACGAGCGGCGAGGCUGCGUUGGACGAGCGGCGAUUCUACGUCCGCCGUUGCUGUCAUACUGUGACAGCUGGACCAUCGGACUAUGUUGUGGAGCGCCAUGCACACGUCUUGGUGCCCCCGCGACUGCCUCAAGGUGUUCCGGCGGCGCAGUCCAUUCGCACCAACUGCGUCAUUGGGAGUACUGGAGGAUAUGCUGGCCACGUGUGGAAUGCGAGUGGCAUGUGGGUGCACGAAACAAGAAGCCAGAGCCCCCGUUCUGAGGGACGUGAGUGCGCCAUGAGGAAAGGCGUGUCCGUGUGGAUUUGGAUGAUCCCGAGGGCAGACGUGGUGUCUGGUUGACUCUGCGGCUCUCGUGUCGGCUCAGUGGCAUCGGGCUGCCGGUGGAUGGUGUUUGUGAGUUGCAGGGGUAGUGCGGGACGGCCGCCGGGCACGGGCCGGUUUUGUGGAGGGCAAGCUUGGCUGUGAGAUCCAGGCGUGGCGCAUUUGGCGAAUUGUGGUCGUGAUUCACAGACGGUAGGCAGAUGAUGAACGGUUUGUGGAAUGUGGCACGGGGUGGUGCGUGUAUAGUGGGGUGGGGGGUGGUUGAAUCGUGGGCGUUUCCCCGCCAAGGCAGCCGGAUUGACAGUCAGUAACGUAAUUCGGAAGGCUGACAGCAGCCGGUCGCCGCACGAUUGCCUGAGAGGGGGACUACAACGGCGACGUACGGGGAGGUACGGUGGCUGGAGAUAGAAUGGAAUUAGUCUGGAUUUGGGGUCGGCUGGCACUUGGCACAUGCAGUCGGCGGGCUUUGCGAGGGAGGGGAUGUGUGAGAAUGAGGGGAGCAGCAGAGAUGUGGAAUCCGGAGACAGUAUGCCCAUUCGAAGUCAUCGGCUCCGAUGGUAGGUCAUACGGAGCGUCUGGAAUAUGUCUGUGGAAGGAGUAUUCCAGAGAGCAACGAGGCGGUACUUCGACGCCAGUUCGGUGUGACCGGCUUCCCACCAGUUGAGACGGACCUUGGUGAGUAGCAUCCAGGCCGCUGCCGCUUGGAUGGUUUUUGGUGCUCAGGCUCUGGAAGUAUGCAAUCAUGAAUUGUGUGUUGACGAGUGCAUGCAAGAGCAUUGCUUGGGAUAGUUGGCGAGCUGGAUGCGAGUAGGACUAUCGAGUCGGGAGGAAUGUGAGUCUGACGAUAACUACCAGGCGGAGGCUUGAGAGCAGGCUGGGGGCGUCAGCGAGGUGACAGCGUAUUGGGCUUGGCGUGCAGGACGGGGAAGGUGGAUGGCCGGCAGGCAUGACGACAGUGGCGGUCCCUCAGCAACGCCUUUAUCCCACAGCUUGGUAGGGGGCCAAUGUGGGUUUUAUCAGGCUCUGGCAGUACGCACUCGUCACGGGAGAUACAGUGCGAACGCGCAAACUCGUCGACGGGCAACUGGACGGGUGGUGUGUCACGGGCGGGAUCUUGUAUUUGAUUGGGGACGUCGACGGCAGUCAUACUUCAUGUAGCGCCUGAUCCGCCCAAGACACGGACACUAGGGUAAUGUGUUGUAGCACACCUGCUCGUACAGGGUGACUAGGCCAACGUUGUCCUCGCAGAGCAAUCGAUACCCAGUGAUCUUUAGAAGUGUGUCUCAAAUGGCUCUUGAGGUCGUCGUUCUGUCCCGCCUUUCGUUAGUCUUUCAGAUCGCUCAUGCGUUUUUGUUUUGGUGCCGGUAGUAGGAGCGGGGUUGCGUCUGGGCCGGAGUGCAACGUGCAGCGUGGCUGUCGUCGAUGGGAGGGCGUCGAUGAGGGUGGAGUCAGGUGGAUGGCUGGAGAAAAGCAGUUACUUCGGUGUGUGAAUCAGGCGCGCCGGUGUCCCGACAUCUGUUUUUUGCCAGGUGUUGUCGGGUGUUCUCUCACUAAUGGAACAUCAGUGAUGAGAGGCAGCUGAGUCGCAACGAUGUGUCUUCGUGUUGAUCGUGGACAGGAACGGCUUAGGCGCAGUCGCUGCGCUGGCACACGCUCUUGCGGUUAUAAAUCUCACGUGGCUCGCCAACGCCUCACGGCUCCCUAUCAGCAAGCCCCGAGUCUGUUCGUCGCUGCCACAACCCACGUCUUAGUACGACAUGCGUGACGCUAUUCGGUGUCAACACUGGCCUCAUGGGGAGCAUUGGAAGUGGUCGCGAGAACCACUAGUCUGCUGGGAAGACGACAUGUCGCCGCGACACCAGCUGGAGCGUGACUGCUUGUUCGCUGUCGGUGUUUUGAAGCACCUGGGUGGAUGAGCAGCCUGGCUUUUACCCAUCGUUGUCUUGUUCCGAUUCAGGCUGGCAUUGGUUCCCGGUAUUCCGCGGAUGAGCAAUAUUGCGUCUCAUUUCCAAGCACCUCGUGACGGUCACCGGUGCAUUGCGGCGCUAAUGUGGGACAGGCCUUCGAGAGAAUAGCCGGUUUCUUGGAGAACACGGUUGGCCGUGAGGGGGGUGAUAUCAUAUGCUCCCAUACUCGGCGCGACUGGGGAAUGUGAUCGGGAAUCCCAGAGUGUAAGCCAUCGCUGGAGGAUUUGUUGAUUUUUGGACGGGACGAUGUUUGACGUGCGUACGGUUAACCCGGGGCUGCUCCCGGCCACGACAUUACGAGCCACGGAUGAGACCGGAAAACACAGGACGCCAGCAGCUGUUCGUCGCCGGUGGUGCGACGAGGCGAUAGCUCGCGAGUUGUCUGUUGGAGGGAACUGCACGGGUGUCUUACAGGGAGAGAGAGGGUGGCACGGGGGUAAGACGGGUUGAGUCUGGUCGUGGGGUGGAAUUCGAUUAGGCAUGAGUAGCUGGCGGGGUUUGGGAGGGACAGAAUGUGUGAGUGUGAGUGAAGCAGCAGAUAUGUGGACUCCAGAGACAGGAUGCCCAUUCGCAGUCAUCGGCUCCGAUGGUAGGUCAUACGGAGCGUCUGGAAUAUGUCUGUGGAAGGAGUAUUCCAGAGAGCCACGAGGCGGUACUUCGACGCCAGUUCGGUGUGACCGGCUCCCCACCGGUUGGGACGGACCUUGGAGCAGGGCGGAUACAAGGCGGACGGGCGACAUCAACAACGCCGUCGAAUCAAAAGUUCCGAUAAGGCCACCGCGGUUUUCGUCAGACGGUGAUUCAUCGCAGAGUCUCGUGCCACGUCUGCUGAGAGGCCAGGACUGAUGUCGUCAGCGGCUGCACGAACGGAUUAGGCGUAGUCGCUGCGUUGGCACACGCUCUUGCGGUUAUAAAUCUCACGUGGCUCGCCAACGCCUCACGGCUCCCUAUCAGCAAGCCCCGAGUCUGUUCGCCGCUGCCACAACCCACGUCUUAGUACGACAUGCGUGACGCUAUUCGGUGUCCCCAAUAGGCUGUAGGUAACUGGUCAUGUCGAUGCUGGAAUCGAUGGUGCACGAACGUUGAUUCGAGAGUGAAUGAAUCGGAAGUGUCUACCCUCUGCGCCAGCAGGUGCGGCGGUGACACCGGACCGCAAACGGACGGUAGCAGCUGGUCGCCGCGUUUUAUAGGAAGGGACGACAGCUCAUUAAUUAGAACGUCUCUGCAAGGGAGUCUCCCGGGCAACUGAUGGGGGGCGGCAAUGCCACAGCGAUAGGAAGGGGUGAGUAUGGGCAUGGGUGGGAGAGUGGUGUGGCAUGUGUAGUCGACCGGCUUUGCGAGAGACGGGAUGUUAGCAUGAAGGGAGUGGCGGGGGUGUCGAGGUGGAUGAUAUGUGCGCGUUCGAGAGCGUGUGCGUCGAUGCAGGGCCUCAUGGGGAGCACUGGAAGUGGUCGCGAGAACCACUAGUCUGCUGGGGAGACGACAUGUCGCCGCGACACCAGCUGGGGCGUGACUGCUUGUUCGCUGUCGGUGUUUUGAAGCACCUGGGUGGAUGAGCAGCCUGGCUUUUACCCGCCGUUGUCUUGUUCCGAUUCAGGGUGACACAGUAAGUGAUUGGGGGGUUGCUGUUGAAAAAGGAAUGAGAGGCCAUUGGUGGGGGGGACCGGUGGCGAACUGUGUGCGGGUGGGACCAGCGACUGUGCCGAUAUAUGAGUGCGUUGAGUACUGUGAGGCGAGGCGCUCGAACCAGCGGCGGAGGUCGGGGCGCAGGCAGCGUAUUUGGGGUCGGACCGUUUGAAGAGGAUGUGGAUGGGCGGCCGGCGUGACGGGGGACGAGAUUCUUCAGCAAGACGUUCAGAUCCCAAGCACGGUGAAAAGGCCACCGCUUUUUUCGUCCCUGGGUGAAACUACGGACCUGUCGCUCGAGUUUCCGUACCGGUCAUUGGGAUGCGGGGUAGGGAAACAGCAACCAUGUCGUAUGACGGUCCGGGUCUUGUGUUUGAUCGAGGACGUCGAUAGCAGCUACACGUCAUGUAGCGUAUUGCCCGCCCGAGUCGAGAAUAGUAGGGUAGCGCGUUGUAACACGUCCGUUCGUACAGCACGACCAGACGAACCUUGUCCUCGCAGAGCAGUCGAUACCCAGUGAUCUUUGGAAGUGGGCCUCAAAUGGCUCUUGAGGUCUUCGUUCUGUCCCGCCUUUCGUUAGUCUUUCAGAUCGCUCAUGCGUUUUUGUUUUGGUGCCGGUAGUAGGAGCGGGGUUGCGUCUGGGCCGGAGUGCAACGUGCAGCGUGGCUGUCAUCGAUGGGAGGGCGUCGAUGAGGGUGGAGUCAGGUGGAUGGUUGGAGAAAAGCAGUUACUUCGGUGUGUCAAUCAGGCGCGCCGGUGUCCCGACAUCUGUUUUUUGCCAGGUGUUGUCGGGUGUUCUCUCACUAAUGGAACAUCAGUAAUGAGAGGCAGCUGAGUCGCAACAAUGUGUCUUCGUGUUGAUCGUGGGCAGGAACGGAUUAGGCGUAGUCGCUGCGUUGGCACACGCUCUUGCGGUUAUAACUCUCACGUGGCUCGCCAACGCCUCACGGCUCCCUAUCAGCAAGCCCCGAGUCUGUUCGCCGCUGCCACAACCCACGUCUUAGUACGACAUGCGUGACGCUAUUCGGUGUCCCCAAUAGGCUGUAGGCAACUGGUCAUGUCGAUGCUGGAAUCGAUGGUGCACGAACGUUGAUUCGAGAGUGAAUGAAUCGGAAGUGUCUACCCUCUGCGCCAGCAGGUGCGGCGGUGACACCGGACCGCAAACGGACGGUAGCAGCUGGUCGCCGCGUUUUAUAGGAAGGGACGACAGCUCAUUAAUUAGAACGUCUCUGCAAGGGAGUCUCCCGGGCAACUGAUGGGGGGCGGCAAUGCCACAGCGAUAGGAAGGGGUGAGUAUGGGCAUGGGUGGGAGAGUGGUGUGGCAUGUGUAGUCGACCGGCUUUGCGAGAGACGGGAUGUUAGCAUGAAGGGAGUGGCGGGGGUGUCGAGGUGGAUGAUAUGUGCGCGUUCGAGAGCGUGUGCGUCGAUGCAGGGCCGCAUGGGGAGCAUUGGAAGUGGUCGCGAGAACCACUAGUCUGCUGGGGAGACGACAUGUCGCCGCGACACCAGCUGGGGCGUGACUGCUUGUUCGCUGUCGGUGUUUUGAAGCACCUGGGUGGAUGAGCAGCCUGGCUUUUACCCGCCGUUGUCUUGUUCCGAUUCAGGGUGACACAGUAAGUGAUUGGGGGGUUGCUGUUGAAAAAGGAAUGAGAGGCCAUUGGUGGGGGGGACCGGUGGCGAACUGUGUGCGGGUGGGACCAGCGACGGUGCCGAUAUAUGAGUGCGUUGAGUACUGUGAGGCGAGGCGCUCGAACCAGCGGCGGAGGUCGGGGCGCAGGCAGCGUAUUUGGGGUCGGACCGUUUGAAGAGGAUGUGGAUGGGCGGCCGGCGUGACGGGGGACGAGAUUCUUCAGCAAGACGUUCAGAUCCCAAGCACGGUGAAAAGGCCACCGCUUUUUUCGUCCCUGGGUGAAACUACGGACCCGUCGCUCGAGUUUCCGUACCGGUCAUUGGGAUGCGGGGUAGGGAAACAGCAACCAUGUCGUAUGACGGUCCGGGUCUUGUGUUUGAUCGAGGACGUCGAUAGCAGCUACACGUCAUGUAGCGUAUUGCCCGCCCGAGUCGAGAAUAGUAGGGUAGCGCGUUGUAACACGUCCGUUCGUACAGCACGACCAGACGAACCUUGUCCUCGCAGAGCAAUCGAUACCCAGUGAUCUUUGGAAGUGGGCCUCAAAUGGCUCUUGAGGUCUUCGUUCUGUCCCGCCUUUCGUUAGUCUUUCAGAUCGCUCAUGCGUUUUUGUUUUGGUGCCGGUAGUAGGAGCGGGGUUGCGUCUGGGCCGGAGUGCAACGUGCAGCGUGGCUGUCAUCGAUGGGAGGGCGUCGAUGAGGGUGGAGUCAGGUGGAUGGUUGGAGAAAAGCAGUUACUUCGGUGUGUCAAUCAGGCGCGCCGGUGUCCCGACAUCUGUUUUUUGCCAGGUGUUGUCGGGUGUUCUCUCACUAAUGGAACAUCAGUAAUGAGAGGCAGCUGAGUCGCAACAAUGUGUCUUCGUGUUGAUCGUGGGCAGGAACGGCUUAGGCGUAGUCGCUGCGUUGGCACACGCUCUUGCGGUUAUAACUCUCACGUGGCUCGCCAACGCCUCACGGCUCCCUAUCAGCAAGCCCCGAGUCUGUUCGCCGCUGCCACAACCCACGUCUUAGUACGACAUGCGUGACGCUAUUCGGUGUCCCCAAUAGGCUGUAGGCAACUAGUCAUGUCGAUGCUGGAAUCGAUGGUGCACGAACGUUGAUCCGAGAGUGAAUGAAUCGGAAGUGUCUACCCUCUGCGCCAGCAGGUGCGGCGGUGACACCGGACCGCAAACGGACGGUAGCAGCUGGUCGCCGCGUUUUAUAGGAAGGGACGACAGCUCAUUAAUUAGAACGUCUCUGCAAGGGAGUCUCCCGGGCAACUGAUGGGGGGCGGCAAUGCCACAGCGAUAGGAAGGGGGUGACACAGGGUCCCGGUAUUCCGCGGAUGAGCAAUAUUGCGUCUCAUUUCCAAGCACCUCGUGACGGUCACCGGUGCACUGCGGCGCUAAUGUGGGACAGGCCUUCGAGAGAAUAGCCGGUUUCUUGGAGAACACGACUGGGUGAGGCGGGUGACCGCUGACGUUUCCAGACACGUCACGAUUGGCGAAUGCGGUCUUGGUUCGCAGUCUGUAAGCAGCCGUCGAAGGGUCUGUGAAAUUUAGGGUGGGACAGCGUUUUCAGAGGGAGGGUGAAUCAGUUGUCUCUCCACGACACGACAUCCGGUUUGACGAACGACACCGAAAGACGGAAGACCGACGGCAACAGUUCGUUGCUCUCGAUAGGAAGGGGCGAUGGCUCGUGAGAGCGCCUGUGCACGGUUUCUGCGCGGGAUUCAUUAGAGGCUGGAACGGUGUCACAAAGAUUGGAAGGGUUGAAUCUGGUCUUUGGGUGGAUUGCGAUUUGGUAUAAGCAGUCGGCGGCCUUUUGCGAUGGCCGGGAUGUUAGCAUGAGAACGGCAGAGAUGUGGGAUUGGGAGAUUGUACGCACAGUCGAGAGCGUGUGCAUCGACGUCGGUCUUCACGGGGCACAUGUGAAUUGGUUGUGGGGAGCAGCAGACUGUUGUGCGAGGAGAUGGCAUUCUAACGCGACCAGUGCGAGACCAGUGUAUCACCGGUUCAGACAGAUUUGAGUGUUAACAUCGUAGGCGCGGCUUAGGGGCUGUUUCUGCCUUGUUCAGCGUCCAUUGGUAGGUAGACAUCAGUUUGUGGUUAGAGAUGGAAUGCGAGCUUUUUGCUUGGGAGAGCUGACGAACGGUAUGAAAAUGAGACCAACGACUCUAGAGGUGUGUCAGCACGUUCAUCAAAGUGAUGCAAGGGCU
rnacentral:lncRNA from 1 species